rnacentral:tRNA from 1 species
GUCAGGAUGGCCGAGCGGUCUAAGGCGCCAGACUCAAGAGUAAAUCUUACCUCAGUUGCUGGGGUUGUGAGCGUUCUGGUCCUCUCUGAGGGCGUGGGUUCAAAUCCCACUUCUGACA